CUGGAGCCAGUCUCAGCUGACAUUGGGCAAGAGCCGGAGUACCAGGAGAGAACCCACGCUGGCAUGGGGAGAACAUGCAAACUCCACACAGAAGGGCCCCCGAGCUGGCCGGUGGGUUCAAACCCAGAACCCUCUUGCUCUGAGGCGACCAUGCUAACCACUGCACCACUGUGCCAUAAAAAGAGGCUUUAUGACUUAAUUCAGUUCAUGAACAUACAGAGACAAGAAGAAAAGGAGAGGUGUCUGAAGAUGAAUAACCGAAAAAAUUGGGGUUCCUGGUGGGUUUUGAGAUCGGAGACUGAGCUGUCACAGAAUUUUGAUGUGGUUUUAAUGUGCUAAUGUUUGAGUUAAUAAAGGCUUAAUCAAAAACAACUAUUGAAUGAAUUUCCAUAAAAUUUUGCACAUGCAGUCAGUUGAAUCCUAUGACAUUGGUGAUCCCCUUCCCUUUCAUCUAGUGUCACCAGCAGGUCAAAGUUUUCACUUAUCCAAUGAUAGCUCAACAUUUACUGGAUGAAUUGGGACAGAAGUUUUU